CCUACGGGAGGCAGCAGUGGGGAAUAUUGGUCAAUGGGCGAAAGCCUGACCCAGCCACGCCGCGUGAAGGAAGAAGGCUUUCGGGUUGUAAACUUCUUUUGACAGGGAAGAGCAGAAGACGGUACCUGUCGAAUAAGCCACGGCUAACUACGUGCCAGCAGCCGCGGUAAUACGUAGGUGGCAAGCGUUUUCCGGGUUUACUGGGGGUAAAGGGCGUGUAGCGGGGCUUAGAAGGCAGAUGGGAAAUUCGGGGGCUUAAACCCCGAACUGCAUUUGAAACUGUUGGUCUUGAGUAUCGGAGAGGCAGGCGGAAUUCCUAGUGUAGCGGUGAAAUGCGUAGAUAUUAGGAGGAACACCAGUGGCGAAGGCAGCCUGCUGGACGACAACUGACGGUGAGGCGCGAAAGCGUGGGGAGCGAACAGGAUUAGAUACCCUUGUAGUC
rnacentral:rRNA from 1 species